GGAGGCGGCUGCGCGGAUCGGCUUACAGGCGGCUCCAAAAUAGGCCAGAGAAGUCUUGGAAUGAGGUGAAUUCAAUGCCAACAGACAGGGCUGACUUUGGUGUCGUCAGCGGACAAAUAAGGCCAAAUGGAUGCAGAGGAACGACCGGUUCAUCUUUGCGUUUGUUGGUGGCGGUGGAAGAAGAAGACAGACGUCCACCGGCUUUAUUCGAAUGACCCCCAAACAGAUGGGGUCAACUGAAACUCUGCUUUCUAUUAAUUUAUCCUCCAGCGACGUGCGGUUGGUGUAAACAUAUUUCCAAGUCAACACCYGGGACAGGAGGACCGUAACCCAUCCACCUAAAGCCAUAUAUGAGCUCCAUGGGCUUCCAUCAAUCAGUCCACGAUACAACCAAGGCAUGUAUUUGGAGUGGAGUCGGCGCCCCUCCUCUCCUGCAGAUAUUGUCUUGAAGGUGAAAGGAGAGACAGAGGGAGCAGUCAAACACCAUAAAAACAAGACAGCUGUACAGACUGAAAUAGCAGCGCUGCCCCCCCAUCAUCACCACCAUUCUCUUCUGCAGCCAUUUUGACCCUGUUCUAACAUUUUGACACUCUUCACUGAUMACCUUGCUUUUUGAAAACCCACUCGUAUUUAGCAUCGUUUGUAAUGUUAAACAUUUAUUGAAAUAUUUGGUGACGAAUUGCCGGAUCUAAUCUAAAAUGCAAACAUAGCUAAUCUAUAACUUUUUGGAACAAUUUUAGAGCGUCUAAAAGUAGAAUGGGACACACGUCACUUCAUUGGAAUAAGCCGUGGUUAUGUGUCAUGUUUAGUUUACAAUACAAGCCAAGCUGAUUGAAAAGAUUUUGUGUAAAAGAAAACCGUUGAACUUACYUAGCAUGUUGUAUGUAGCAAAAGCGGAGACCAAACAUGCCGCGUCAUCAUCCUCCUUCCACUUCCUGUCGUCGUCUUCUUCGUGGUUUGCGCCACUGGUCACUUCCGGUUUUUGAUCAUGUGACUCGUGUGGUGCAGAAAAAACGAUGUUUCCAUUGUAGUUUUGCUAAAUAAACCAGUUUUGAUCAUCCUAACGCCAAAACUUUAUCGAAAAACUAUUUCCCCCCCCAAACUGGCGUGUUUCCAUUACCCAUGUUUUUUUGUUUUUUUUAAUUGUCAAGUUACACGAUUAUAUGGAAACGCAGCUAAUAAACGUACACAAUUUGGCCACUCUUGUAAUGAGAUUAGGUAGGAUAAUUUUUAAGAUGAUUUUUGGCUUUUAACAGAAACCCACAUCUUUAACAAAACGCAUAAGAUAAAUGCCAUUUCAUACAACAAUWUUGUUAUAUUGUUUAUUUAUGUUAUAGCGCCAGUUUUGAUGUGGUUUAGGGAUGUUAGUGCUGUUGAAAUACCAUUUUCUUUUAUAAAAGUUUCAAUCUGUGAUCCAAACUGUCACUUUUGAAAGAAAAMAAGUGAGUUAAGAUCUACAAGACUGAAACUGAUACCUUGAAACUCGGUAGGAAUUUGGAUCUGCCAAAURUUUUGAAGUUUGUGUAUUUCUACAGGAAGUGGGCGGUUUUCCGCAAGUUGUCAAGGAAAAUACAUCAAAACUUUAAUCGCUAUG